rnacentral:rRNA from 1 species
AACGAACGCUGGCGGCGCGCCUAAUACAUGCAAGUCGAGCGAGAAGACGUAGCAAUACGUUUGUAAAGCGGCGAACGGGUGAGGAAUACAUGGGUAACCUACCCUCGAGUGGGGAAUAACUAGCCGAAAGGUUAGCUAAUACCGCGUACGCUCCUUGGACUUCGGUUCAGGGAGGAAAGCGAUACCGUGGGUAUCGCGCUCUUGGAUGGGCUCAUGUCCUAUCAGCUUGUUGGUGAGGUAACGGCUCACCAAGGCUUCGACGGGUAGCUGGUCUGAGAGGACAAUCAGCCACACUGGCACUGCGACACGGGCCAGACUCCUACGGGAGGCAGCAGUAAGGAAUAUUGCGCAAGUGGGCGAAAGCCUGACGCAGCGACGCCGC